GAUGAACGCUGGCGGCGUGCCUAAUACAUGCAAGUCGAGCGAACAGACGAGGAUCUUGCUCCUCUGACGUUAGCGGCGGACGGGUGAGUAACACGUGGAUAACCUACCUAUAAGACUGGGAUAACUUCGGGAAACCGGAGCUAAUACCGGAUAAUAUAUUGAACCGCAUGGUUCAAUAGUGAAAGACGGUUUUGCUGUCACUGAUACAUGGAUCCGCGCCGCAUUAGCUAGUUGGUAAGGUAACGGCUUACCAAGGCAACGAUGCGUAGCCGACCUGAGAGGGUGAUCGGCCACACUGGAACUGAGACACGGUCCAGACUCCUACGGGAGGCAGAAGUAGGGAAUCGUCCGCAAUGGGCGGAAGCCUGACGGAGCAGCGCCGCGUGAGUGAUGAAGGUCUUCGGAUCGUAAAACUCUGUUAUUAGGGAAGACCAAAUGUGUAAGUAACUAUGCACGUCUUGACGGUACCUAAUCAGAAAGCCACGGCUAACUACGUG
rnacentral:rRNA from 1 species